GACAGAGGAGCCAAGCGUUGUCCGGAUUGACUGGGCGUAAAGCGCACGCAGGCGGAUGCGCGCGUGGGGUGUGAAAUCUGGCCGCUUAACGGCCAGGCGCCAUCCCAUACGGCGCGUCUGGAGUGAUGCAGAGGUCGAUGGAAUUGCCGGUGUAGUGGUGAAAUGCGUAGAGAUCGGCAGGAACACCCAGGGGGAAACCAGUCGACUGGGCAUCUACUGACGCUGAGGUGCGAGAGCGUGGGGAGCGAACCGGG
rnacentral:rRNA from 1 species